rnacentral:tRNA from 1 species
AGGUCCGUAGCUCAACUGGCAGAGCAGCUGACUCUUAAUCAGCGGGUUGGGGGUUCGAGUCCCCCCGGACCUACGA